rnacentral:rRNA from 1 species
GACGAACGCUGGCGGCGUGCUUAACACAUGCAAGUCGAACGGAAAGGCCUCUUUCGGGGGGUACUCGAGUGGCGAACGGGUGAGUAACACGUGAGUAACCUGCCCUUGACUUUGGGAUAACUUCAGUAAACUGGGGCUAAUACCGGAUAGGAGCUCCUGCUGCAUGGUGGGGGUUGGAAAGUUUCGGCGGUUGGGGAUGGACUCGCGGCUUAUCAGCUUGGUGGUGGGGUAGUGGCUUACCAAGGCUUUGACGGGUAGCCGGCCUGAGAGGGUGACCGGCCACAUUGGGACUGAGAGACGGCCCAGACUCCUACGGGAGGCAGCAGUGGGGAAUAUUGAACAAGGGGUGGAAGCCUGAUGCAGCAACGCCGUGUGCGGGAGGACGGCCUUCGGGUUGUAAAACGCUUGCGCUCAUGACGAAGCUUUGUGUGACGGUAGUGGGUAAAGAAGCACCGGCUAACUACGUG